rnacentral:rRNA from 1 species
ACCAGCGAGGAUCAUACGAGUUCAAACUCCCAACCCNUUGUGAACGUUACCAAACUGUUGCCUCGGCGGGAUCUCUGCCCCGGGUGCGUCGCAGCCCCGGACCAAGGCGCCCGCCGGAGGACCAACCAAAACUCUUAUUGUAUACCCCCUCGCGGGUUUUUUUAUAAUCUGAGCCUUCUCGGCGCCCCUCGUGGGCGUUUCGAAAAUGAAUCAAAACUUUCAACAACGGAUCUCUUGGUUCUGGCAUCGAUGAAGAACGCAGCGAAAUGCGAUAAGUAAUGUGAAUUGCAGAAUUCAGUGAAUCAUCGAAUCUUUGAACGCACAUUGCGCCCGCCAGUAUUCUGGCGGGCAUGCCUGUCCGAGCGUCAUUUCAACCCUCGAACCCCUCCGGGGGGUCGGCGUUGGGGAUCGGCCCUCCCUCUGCGGGGGCCGUCUCCGAAAUACAGUGGCGGUCUCGCCGCAGCCUCUCCUGCGCAGUAGUUUGCACACUCGCACCGGGAGCGCGGCGCGUCCACAGCCGUU